GACGAACGCUGGCGGCGCGCUUAACACAUGCAAGUCGAGCGAUGAAAUUUCGACAGAUCCCUUCGGGGUGAAGAUGAAAUGGAUUAGCGGCGGACGGGUGAGUAACACGUGAGUAACCUGCCUUUGACAUUGGGAUAGCCUCGGGAAACUGGGAUUAAUACCAAAUGACACUACUGAUCACAUGAUCAAUUAGUCAAAGAAAUUCGGUCAAAGAUGGACUCGCGGCUGAUUAGCCAGUUGGUGAGGUAACGGCCCACCAAGGCGACGAUCAGUAGCCGGCCUGAGAGGGUGAUCGGCCACAUUGGAACUGAGACACGGUCCAAACUCCUACGGGAGGCAGCAGUGGGGAAUAUUGCACAAUGGGGGAAACCCUGAUGCAGCGACGCCGCGUGAGCGAAGAAGGCCUUCGGGUCGUAAAGCUCUUUUAUGAGGGAAGAUAAUGACGGUGCCUCAAGAAAAAGCCCCGGCUAACUACGU
rnacentral:rRNA from 1 species